CUUAUGUCUUGUAUUGGAAUGAUGGGAAUUUAAACCUCUUCCAGAGUAUCAAUUGGAGGGCAAGUCUGGUGCCAGCAGCCGCGGUAAUUCCAGCUCCAAUAGCGUAUAUUAAAAUUGUUGCAGUUAAAAAGCUCGUAGUUGAAUUUCUGCUGCAUUGCUUGUGUCCCUCCGGGGUCUGUGCAUGUGGCUUUUUUCGGACGGAGUUUCUUUGUCUGAAUGUUUACUUUGAGAAAAUUAGAGUGCUCAAAGCAGGCUUUUGCCUUGAAUAGUUUAGCAUGGAAUAAUAAAGUAGGACUUUGGUUCUAUUUUGUUGGUUUUAGGUACCAAAGUAAUGGUUAAUAGGAACAGUUGGGGGCAUUCGUAUUUAACUGUCAGAGGUGAAAUUCUUAGA
rnacentral:rRNA from 1 species